rnacentral:rRNA from 1 species
AUGGCUAACAGCAUCUGGACCUCACCGGAGAUCACGUCACCUGCCACGGUCUGGGAGCAGACCAGGACGCUCAAUUUCGAGGUGACCGAUUACCUGCAGCUCGAUGGCAUGGGUGUCGGCGAGUCCAUUAGUUCGCCCGUCGUCCAAGUCGGCGGCUACCAGUGGAAGAUCAAAUUCUACCCAGACGGGAUCGACGAGGAAUGUGACGGCCACGCCUCAGCGCUUGUGCGCUGUUACAGCCAAGACACGGAUCCGAAUGUGACCGCCAAGUUCAAGCUGAGCAUCCUAGAGAAAAGGAGCCAGGUAAAUGUAUCCAGCUUCGAUGCGCCGAUGUGCAUCUUCUCUCCGUGCGAUUUCCCUACAUGGGGCUACCAGAAAUUCGUCGACAAGUCCAAGCUGGAAUCGCUGUCGCAACUCGGGGACGGCUGCUUCACGAUACGGUGUGUCCUCACCGUCGUCACCGACGAGCCACCGUCUCGGGGGCUGUCUCGGGAGCUGCCCAGCCAACUCUCCAGCCAACUCGAGAGCAUGCUCGAGGACGGGAGAGGCGCCGACGUCACGUUCCGCGUGGGCAGCCACAAGUUCCUGGGGCACAGGUGCGUUCUGGCGGCGCGGUCGCCGGUGUUCAGUGCUCAGUUCUAUGGCCCCAUGGCGGAGAAGGACAAGCCGCGCGUCAAGGUCGUCGACGUGGAGCCGGCCAUCUUCCAGAUGAUGCUUCGCUACAUCUAUACAGACUCAAUGCCGCCACCGCCGCCGCCCGCUGAAGGAUACAGCGUCGCGGUGAUGCAGCACUUGAUGGUCGCGGCAGACAUGUAUGGGCUGGAGAGGCUGAAGCUCAUGUGUGAAGAUGAGCUGUGCAACAUUAUGGAUGCAUCGACCGUUAUGAGCACGUACGCGCUGGCGAGUCAGCACCGCUGUAAUCGACUCAAGGAUGAGUGCGUAGAAUUUAUGUCGUCAAAAGAAGUGUUGGCCGCCAUCCUCGAGACCAGUGAGCGCUUCAUGCCACGUUGCCGACCACUGCCAUUGGAGGGGGAUCAUGAAGAGGAAGAAGUUGAUCAAUGCAAGAAAUUCAAAAGGACUCGUACAAAAUAG